UUAAGCGACUAAGCGUACACGGUGGAUGCCCUGGCAGUCAGAGGCGAUGAAGGACGUGCUAAUCUGCGAUAAGCGUCGGUAAGGUGAUAUGAACCGUUAUAACCGGCGAUUUCCGAAUGGGGAAACCCAGUGUGAUUCGUCACACUAUCAUUAACUGAAUCCAUAGGUUAAUGAGGCGAACCGGGGGAACUGAAACAUCUAAGUACCCCGAGGAAAAGAAAUCAACCGAGAUUCCCCCAGUAGCGGCGAGCGAACGGGGAGGAGCCCAGAGCCUGAAUCAGUGUGUGUGUUAGUGGAAGCGUCUGGAAAGGCGCGCGAUACAGGGUGACAGCCCCGUACACAAAAAUGCACAUAUUGUGAGCUCGAUGAGUAGGGCGGGACACGUGGUAUCCUGUCUGAAUAUGGGGGGACCAUCCUCCAAGGCUAAAUACUCCUGACUGACCGAUAGUGAACCAGUACCGUGAGGGAAAGGCGAAAAGAACCCCGGCGAGGGGAGUGAAAAAGAACCUGAAACCGUGUACGUACAAGCAGUGGGAGCACGCUUAGGCGUGUGACUGCGUACCUUUUGUAUAAUGGGUCAGCGACUUAUAUUCUGUAGCAAGGUUAACCGAAUAGGGGAGCCGAAGGGAAACCGAGUCUUAACUGGGCGUUAAGUUGCAGGGUAUAGACCCGAAACCCGGUGAUCUAGCCAUGGGCAGGUUGAAGGUUGGGUAACACUAACUGGAGGACCGAACCGACUAAUGUUGAAAAAUUAGCGGAUGACUUGUGGCUGGGGGUGAAAGGCCAAUCAAACCGGGAGAUAGCUGGUUCUCCCCGAAAGCUAUUUAGGUAGCGCCUCGUGAAUUCAUCUCCGGGGGUAGAGCACUGUUUCGGCAAGGGGGUCAUCCCGACUUACCAACCCGAUGCAAACUGCGAAUACCGGAGAAUGUUAUCACGGGAGACACACGGCGGGUGCUAACGUCCGUCGUGAAGAGGGAAACAACCCAGACCGCCAGCUAAGGUCCCAAAGUCAUGGUUAAGUGGGAAACGAUGUGGGAAGGCCCAGACAGCCAGGAUGUUGGCUUAGAAGCAGCCAUCAUUUAAAGAAAGCGUAAUAGCUCACUGGUCGAGUCGGCCUGCGCGGAAGAUGUAACGGGGCUAAACCAUGCACCGAAGCUGCGGCAGCGACGCUUAUGCGUUGUUGGGUAGGGGAGCGUUCUGUAAGCCUGUGAAGGUGUGCUGUGAGGCAUGCUGGAGGUAUCAGAAGUGCGAAUGCUGACAUAAGUAACGAUAAAGCGGGUGAAAAGCCCGCUCGCCGGAAGACCAAGGGUUCCUGUCCAACGUUAAUCGGGGCAGGGUGAGUCGACCCCUAAGGCGAGGCCGAAAGGCGUAGUCGAUGGGAAACAGGUUAAUAUUCCUGUACUUGGUGUUACUGCGAAGGGGGGACGGAGAAGGCUAUGUUGGCCGGGCGACGGUUGUCCCGGUUUAAGCGUGUAGGCUGGUUUUCCAGGCAAAUCCGGAAAAUCAAGGCUGAGGCGUGAUGACGAGGCACUACGGUGCUGAAGCAACAAAUGCCCUGCUUCCAGGAAAAGCCUCUAAGCAUCAGGUAACAUCAAAUCGUACCCCAAACCGACACAGGUGGUCAGGUAGAGAAUACCAAGGCGCUUGAGAGAACUCGGGUGAAGGAACUAGGCAAAAUGGUGCCGUAACUUCGGGAGAAGGCACGCUGAUAUGUAGGUGAAGUCCCUCGCGGAUGGAGCUGAAAUCAGUCGAAGAUACCAGCUGGCUGCAACUGUUUAUUAAAAACACAGCACUGUGCAAACACGAAAGUGGACGUAUACGGUGUGACGCCUGCCCGGUGCCGGAAGGUUAAUUGAUGGGGUCAGCGCAAGCGAAGCUCUUGAUCGAAGCCCCGGUAAACGGCGGCCGUAACUAUAACGGUCCUAAGGUAGCGAAAUUCCUUGUCGGGUAAGUUCCGACCUGCACGAAUGGCGUAAUGAUGGCCAGGCUGUCUCCACCCGAGACUCAGUGAAAUUGAACUCGCUGUGAAGAUGCAGUGUACCCGCGGCAAGACGGAAAGACCCCGUGAACCUUUACUAUAGCUUGACACUGAACAUUGAGCCUUGAUGUGUAGGAUAGGUGGGAGGCUUUGAAGUGUGGACGCCAGUCUGCAUGGAGCCGACCUUGAAAUACCACCCUUUAAUGUUUGAUGUUCUAACGUUGACCCGUAAUCCGGGUUGCGGACAGUGUCUGGUGGGUAGUUUGACUGGGGCGGUCUCCUCCUAAAGAGUAACGGAGGAGCACGAAGGUUGGCUAAUCCUGGUCGGACAUCAGGAGGUUAGUGCAAUGGCAUAAGCCAGCUUGACUGCGAGCGUGACGGCGCGAGCAGGUGCGAAAGCAGGUCAUAGUGAUCCGGUGGUUCUGAAUGGAAGGGCCAUCGCUCAACGGAUAAAAGGUACUCCGGGGAUAACAGGCUGAUACCGCCCAAGAGUUCAUAUCGACGGCGGUGUUUGGCACCUCGAUGUCGGCUCAUCACAUCCUGGGGCUGAAGUAGGUCCCAAGGGUAUGGCUGUUCGCCAUUUAAAGUGGUACGCGAGCUGGGUUUAGAACGUCGUGAGACAGUUCGGUCCCUAUCUGCCGUGGGCGCUGGAGAACUGAGGGGGGCUGCUCCUAGUACGAGAGGACCGGAGUGGACGCAUCACUGGUGUUCGGGUUGUCAUGCCAAUGGCACUGCCCGGUAGCUAAAUGCGGAAGAGAUAAGUGCUGAAAGCAUCUAAGCACGAAACUUGCCCCGAGAUGAGUUCUCCCUGACCCUUUAAGGGUCCUGAAGGAACGUUGAAGACGACGACGUUGAUAGGCCGGGUGUGUAAGCGCAGCGAUGCGUUGAGCUAACCGGUACUAAUGAACCGUGAGGCUUAACCUU
rnacentral:rRNA from 1 species